CCUACGGGAGGCAGCAGUGGGGAAUAUUGCACAAUGGGGGAAACCCUGAUGCAGCGACGCCGCGUGAGUGAAGAAGUAUCUCGGUACGUAAAGCCCUAUCAGCAGGGAAGAAAAUGACGGUCCCUGACUAAGAAGCCCCUGCUAACUACGUGCCAGCAGCCGCGGUAAUACGUAGGGGCCAAGCGUUAUCCGGAUUUACUGGGUGUAAAGGGAGCGUAGACGGCAGUACAAGUCUGGAGUGAAAUCCCGGGUCUUAACCCCGGAACUGCUUUGGAAACUGUGCGGCUGGAGUGCAGGAGGGGUAAGCGGAAGUCCUAGUGUAGCGGUGAAAUGCGUAGAUAUUAGGAGGAACACCGGUGGCGAAGGCGGCUUACUGGACUGUAACUGACGUUGAGGCUCGAAAGCGUGGGGAGCGAACAGGAUUAGAUACCCCUGUAGUC
rnacentral:rRNA from 1 species